rnacentral:rRNA from 1 species
UACGUAGGGUGCAAGCGUUGUCCGGAUUCAUUGGGCGUAAAGAGCGUGUAGGCGGCCAGGUAGGUCGGUUGUGAAAACUGGAGGCUCAACCUUCAGAGGUCGACCGAAACCAUCUGGCUAGAGUCCGGGAGAGGAGAGUGGAAUUCCUGGUGUAGCGGUGAAAUGCGCAGAUAUCAGGAAGAACACCGGUGGCGAAGGCGGAUCUCUGGGCCUUACCUGACGCUGAGGCGCGAAAGCUAGGGGAGCAAACAGG